rnacentral:lncRNA from 1 species
UAGCACAUAUCAUAUCUCAUGCAUAUAGGGGCCUAAACACUAGCUCAAACCCCACAAGUAACCUCAAACAUCAUCAAAGCACAUAUGAUCAACAUAUGCACAACUCAUGGUUACACCCAAAACCAAGCCAUACAACUCACUUAAACCCUUUAAAACAUGCUUUAAACAUAAGGGGAGGUGAGGAUCCAUGCUUACCUCUUGAAGAACGAGAGGAUUGAUGGUCCAAGCUUGGAGAUAUGGUGGAAAAGCAGCUCAAAGUCUCCAAGUGCACAACUUUGCUUCCUUUUGCUCAAAACGCUAAAACAAAGUUCAAAACAUGUAAAAACAUGCAAGAUUUGAAGAAAUCACAUGAACAUACCCAAGGAGAGCAAGAACCCUACCUUUGACCAAAAAGAGAGUGAAAAAGCACCCCAUUGCCGGUCAAAGGAGCUUUUAUAGGUGGCCAACCGCCUCUCCUUCGACGGCCAAACCUGUAUGCGAAACCAUGCAAUGUUCGGCGGCCGAACUUCACCUUCGGCGGC